rnacentral:lncRNA from 1 species
CUAAACAGCUAGAUCAAUCAAUUAGUUUUGAUUCUCAAUUUCUACAAGCAUGCACCGUAUUUGAUAACAAAACUAACUUUCUUUGCAAAAUUCACAAGUAAAACGGUGAAGAGACUGAUCUUUGGAAUCACAAAAAAGGCUGGUGUAUAAAACGGAUCCUUGUAUAUAUAUAACAAACCAUCUGUCUUGGACUAUAAGGGAAAGAGAUGCAACANAUAUCUAUUGGAACAAUGUCACGUGAUUGAAAUAAAAGAAUAACUGAGAGAUCAAUAUGAUCUAAAGAACUCAGUGUUGCGUGUCUUGAUUAAGACACUACUAAAGGUAGUUAACCUUCUUGUAAUAUACAACACACACAAGAGAUGGCGUCCCAUCCAACUCCUAUCACACAAACAGGUAGUCCUUGUGUCCCCUAUAAUUAGAGUUGUUCAUCUCAGUUAGAAUAGUGAAUUAUGAAAAGGAUUCAACACUAGGAGAAUAUAUGUUGUCCUUUGAUGAAUAAAAUUUUGAGGCACAUUUUGGAUUAAGACGGAAUAGAUUUCAAAGGUGCUUAUUUCAGUAAAAAGAAUAAUCAUAAAUGAUACAGUAAGCACCAUCAUCAUCCCAUAAUUCAAGAGAGGAAACUAUAUUCUUUAUCACACGUCUAUAGGAAAGAGAUGCAACACGAAAAAUCCAAUCCCGUAUAUAUUACUUGGUGAAAACACCCAACUCUUUUCCUACCAGAUUAAUUGGAGAUUUGAAGUAUAACCAGCCCUCUUUCCCAUAAAAAAUGAACCUAAUAAGAGGUGGUUGCCACCAUAUUCAAACGCCAGCAUAUAUUACAAGCUUGAAUAACUGAGAACAAUACCCUACUUACUUAACAUGUGAACCUUAAAAUUACACAGACCUCACAUAUUAGGUUGGUAGACUUAUUGCAUUUUGUUCACUAGCGGAAGGCUUUAGUAAAGAGGGGCCUGUAUUAAAUCCAUUUGCCAUGGUAGGCUCGGGAGAAGAACCUUUGGAGAUUGUGAACUUUGUUGAUUCUGAUAAUACUUCGACUGCAG